rnacentral:misc_RNA from 1 species
CACGUAUGGUGCAAACGUUGUUCGGAAUUACUGGGCCUAAAGAGCGCGUAGGCGGUUUGGUAAGUCAGGUGUGAAAUCCCUCGGCUCAACCGAGGAACUGCACCUGAUACUGCCUGACUAGAGUGCAGGAGGGGAGAGUGGAAUUCCUGGUGGAGCGGUGAAAUGCGUAGAUAUCAGGAGGAACGCCGGCGGCGAAAGCGACUCUCUGGCCUGCUACUGACGCUGAGGCGCGAAAGCUAGGGGAGCAAACGGG